AGUUCUCAAUAAGUAAAUUUGAGUGUCUUCAUUUAAAUUCAGUAGACAGAUCACCAAGUACUUGACUUACGUUUAAGUUUGUACGUGAUUUGAAAGCAAUCAGAUCAAACCAAAUCCAGCGUCCAAAACGGACAACUGCGCCGGCAAUUACCAUAAAUAACAUGUCAAGUCUAAAUUAAUAAACGUUUGGCCAAUAAUUCAAACUUAAUUUAACGCAAUGCGGCCAAAUUACAGGACCAAUUACAUUCUAAUCCACUCGAAUUGCUCUGUCCGUACGAUUUAUAACACAGCUCAUAUUUAAAACAACACAGGAUUAUAGAAAAUAAUAGUGAUUAGAAUCUUAAAACGGAAUUUAAAACAUCCGAUAACAGUAUCUAACAGGAUAAUGCAUUUACUCGUAGUAUGCAAAAUCAUAAACGCAAAAACUAAACUCACGGUAGUGCAAAUUGUAGGGAACCAAAAGUAGGUAGAAGAAUUCUGUUAAUUACUCUUCCGCGAAGUCAUGCGUUCCAGGCAAGAGUAAAAAAAAAGGUCCCCGACUGAUGGCGGCCGCUGGCUCGCUGAGUCGGCUGUUGACGAACGUCGGGGGGCUCGCCGCGGUGAUUUGCCGCCUCUACACGGGGGUGGUACGGUCGAUGGUACUAUACGGGGCUUCCGUGUGGUAUCACGCCCUGACCCGCGAUAACGUCGUGGCCUUGCGACGUCCGUAGCGCGCGAUUGCGGUCAGGUCGGUUCGAGGGUCACUGUCUCGUUCGAGGCUAGGUGUGUGCUCGCCAAGACGCCUCCCUGGGACCUGGAAGCAGUGGCGCUCGCCGUGGAGUAAGCGUGGUGAUGCGAUCUCUGUUCCAGGGGGGAGCCACGCGGAAGUGUCAAUCGCGGCGUGCUAUGCUUGAGGCGUGGUCUCGCCGCCUCUCGGACCCCACCUACGGGCGACGGACCAUUAAUGCGAUCCGUGCACUCCUCUCGGACUGAGCAAUUCGCACAGAAUUCAUAAUUGUUCGUUACUCUCAACUUCAAUCUAUGGGAAUUCAAAUCUAAUUUUCGUUUCUGGCAGUUAGCUUUGUUAGCUUUCACAAAGUUUUUGUGGAAACAAAAACAUCCACAUACAAUCGUACCAAUAAUGUUCGGAGUUGUUUACGACUAAAUCUACACGCCGUUUACGUAAUUACUUUGUGUUAAAAUCAUUCUGGAUUCAUUUUAAACGGAUUUAUUUCAUUGGUUUUUGUAUGUUGAUUAAAUAUUAUUAUUUUUUCUCGUUUUGAACGCAAGCAUUUUUUUAGUGGUUUGAUUAGUUACUUGUAAGAUUGUAUUACGUUUUGCGGCUCGAUACCAUAGUCAGAAUAUUAUCUGCCACAAUAAGAAUAUAAUUUAUUCGAUCCUCAUAAGUGAAAUAUGAUUAAAAGUAAGGUUUCAAGGAAUAUUUUAAUUGAAUGCACAAUUUCAACCAAAAACUUUAUUCUGUACGCCAAGUAAUGAUCUCAUCUUCGUUCUUGUCAAGUGACUAAUUCAAGUAUUUUUGUAGGUUUAACAAAUUCAGUGAUCGCACACUCUUUGCAUGCUUGUCGUUUAGUUUGUAAAAUGACAUUAAAUUAAAUCUCAAUCUUGCAAUUAUGUGGACUCGUUUGUGAGAUGCGCUUUUUAUAUGAACGCAACUCUGUAUAAAAAUCACGAAAACAUAAAGUUCAAAAACGUUAUAUUUUGUGAUGGGGAAAAAUCAAAUACAGAUAAUAUAACAUGAUUACAAGUCACAUGAAGAUUUACAAAUUACCAUUUUAUUUGAUCAUCGUUAGUGAGAUUUAAAUUUAUCAUAUCGUCAAAUUUGGUCUCUGUUUUUAGCUUAUCCUGUAUAAUAUGACUUCACAUAUAAUAUAAACUUGCCUGAAAUAUGGUGGAAAAUGCUAUUUUUUCUAGUGGUGGUUGUUGUAAAAUCAAUCGUAGGUAAUGUAAAUUUGUCUGUUUCAUAGCGUAGUUAAUGAAAUACCUUAUUGAUGACUGUAUCUAAUUAACUACGGCAAUUACGUUUGCAAUCAGAUUCAUGGUAACAGCUUCCACCAUAUUGUACCGAUGUUAAUCAAUCCUAUGCAGCCUCAUCCAAUUAUAAUGACUAAAUAUUAUCCGUUAAAUGUAAUUUAGAAUAUUUCGUUAAAUAAAUUUGUUUUAAACAA